rnacentral:rRNA from 1 species
UGGUGGAGCGAUUUGUCUGGUUAAUUCCGAUAACGAACGAGACUCUGGCCUAUUAAAUAGUUCGCCAAUUCCGAUCUGUCGGCGUUAACUUCUUAGAGGGACAAGUGGCUUUUAGCCACGCGAGAUUGAGCAAUAACA